GACGAACGCUGGCGGCGUGCUUAACACAUGCAAGUCGAACGGAAAGGCCCUGCUUUUGUGGGGUGCUCGAGUGGCGAACGGGUGAGUAACACGGGAGUAACCUGCCCUUGACUUUGGGAUAACUUCAGGAAACUGGGGCUAAUACCGGAUAGGAGCACCUGCUGCAUGGUGGGGGUUGGAAAGUUUCGGCGGUUGGGGAUGGACUCGCGGCUUAUCAGCUUGUUGGUGGGGUAGUGGCUUACCAAGGCUUUGACGGGUAGCCGGCCUGAGAGGGUGACCGGCCACAUUGGGACUGAGAUACGGCCCAGACUCCUACGGGAGGCAGCAGUGGGGAAUAUUGCACGAUGGGCGGAAGCCUGAUGCAGCAACGCCGCGUGCGGGAUGACGGCCUUCGGGUUGUAAACCGCUUUCGCCUGUGACGAAGCGUGAGUGACGGUAAUGGGUAAAGAAGCACCGGCUAACUACGUG
rnacentral:rRNA from 1 species